rnacentral:rRNA from 1 species
UACGGAGGGGGCUAGCGUUGUCCGGAAUUAUUGGGCGUAAAGGGCGCGUAGGUGGCUUGCCAAGCGUGUGGUGAAAUCCCUCGGCUUAACCGAGGAACUGCCGUCCAAACUGCUUCGCUUGAGACCGGGAGAGGUGAGUGGAAUUCCCAGUGUAGCGGUGAAAUGCGUAGAUAUCUGGAGGAACACCGGUGGCGAAGGCGGCAUCCUGGACCGAUACUGACGCUGAGGAGCGAAAGCCAGGGGAGCAAACGGG